CCACAUUUGUAUUCUAACCAACAAAACCAAAAAAAAAAAUCACCACAGAACAGAACACGGGAAGAGAAAGAGCGUGUCUUGGUCGGAAACAAUGGCGAGGGAGCUUCUGCCUCGUGACCUAUGCAUCUAUGUCUGCAUCUGCAUUCUACUCCUUGCCCACCAAAGUUCCUGUUUUUACCUCCCUGGUGUUGCACCUGAGGAUUUCUGGAAGGGAGAUCCAUUGAGGGUGAAAGUGAACAAACUGUCUUCCACAAAAACACAGCUUCCUUAUUCAUACUAUUCACUGCCUUAUUGUCGUCCGAAACGCAUUGUUGACAGUGCAGAAAAUCUAGGAGAAGUUCUUCGGGGUGACCGCAUUGAAAAUUCACCCUAUGUGUUCAAAAUGAGAGAACCGCAGCUGUGCAAUAUUGCUUGUCGUAUAAUUCUCGAUGACAAAACGGCAAAAGAGUUCAGGGAAAUGAUAGAUGAUGAGUAUCGGGUGAACAUGAUUCUAGACAAUCUUCCUUUGGUUGUUCCUAUAAGAAGGCUUGAUCAGGAAUCUCCCAUGGUGUAUCUCCAUGGCUUCCUCGUCGGUCUUAAGGGACAGUAUUCUGGAAUCAAAGAGGAGAAGUAUUUCAUCCACAACCACUUAGCAUUUGUGGUUAAGUAUCACACUGAUCAACAGCUAGGAUUAUCAAGGAUUGUAGGAUUUGAG
rnacentral:sRNA from 1 species